rnacentral:snRNA from 1 species
UGAGGUAAGGAUGAUCUGGCUGAGACAUCUGUCACCCCAUUGAUAUCUUGGUUGAUUCAACUGAUCUAGUUGGUUAGAUGGGUAUCCCUUUCUUCACUUCUCAAAGUAUAUCUGUCUUGAAACUGGGAACUUGGUGGAAAAGAAUGACCAUUCCAAGUAGAAGUUGUUUCAAAAUUUAUUGAAG